rnacentral:lncRNA from 1 species
GUCUAGAAUGAUACCAAACAGCAACCCCUAGCAUCCCAUCUUGCUGCUGUCCUUGUAACAUGAAGUUCCUGGGAGCCUCGGUACCAGAUUAGCAAGUGGGUAGUUUCUCCUGUGGAAGGCACUCUUUCAAAUUUUCUUUUUUCUUUAUUUAUUUUCGAGUUCUAGGGAUGAACGUGGGGGUGUUUUAUUUUACCAUUGAGCUUUUCAUUUUUUAUUUCAAGACAGGAUCUUACAAAGUCACCCGUCACCUGAGCUGACCUCAGACUUGUGAUCCUCCUGCCUCAACCUCCUGAGUCCUUGGGACUGCAGGCCUAUAUACCACAGCACUUGGCUUACUUGAGAAUUUUCAAUGAAGACACUGUCGUGGGUGUUAUUAGGGAAAGCACCCAGACAGAGCACAGCAACUGCUUAACUGUGCUUGUAUCUCAGUUUAUCUCUCUGUGGUGCCAAGCCGCUUUCUUUUUUCUUUCUUUUUUGGUGUGUCUGUGUGUGUCGGGAACGGCAGGUGGGGGCUGCUUUAUAAUCAAACCAAGCCCCAGUAGCCAUCAAUGUAAGGCACCAGCCUGUCUCAGAAGUGUGAGCUCAAACCAAGAGGCACACUCUUCUCCAUGGCUUUAAGAGAAAAGAGACUGUGAGUGCCAAGGAAGCUUCCCAUUUGAGUUUGGAAGGACUCUCCAAGGAUCUGUCCCCUGGAGUCACCUUUGAUCCACAUUUCUCCCAGGCCAGAAGGUGCAUAGUGCGCCCUCUGCUGGGAAAAAGGAGAACAGUCCUUAUUCUGCCCCAUCCCUCAGGGCAGUUACUGUUUUCCCGUGAGCUACUGAGGACAGUAAGGUGUGCAGCUUGCAGAUCCUGCAUCAUCUGUACAGAUGCAGGCCUGAUUCCAUCCUUAUUGUGUCUCAAGUCGAGGGCUGAGACAGACUCUGGGCUCAGACACAGGGCAGGUAGGUGUUCCAUGCCCCACCCCCACCAGGGGGUCUCAGCCACUCCCAGUCACUUAGCCAAUGUUUGGACACAAACAAAGCUGAAAGCCAACAGAACCCAUAUCAAAGCUCAGUCCAGGCCACAUAUCCACCAGUACUUUCCUUCAUGUCCCUGAUGCUAAUUCCUGUGCAGAAACUUUUAAAGAAUAUUCAGGUUCCAUCUUAAAAUAAUAAGCCAAGGCCACACAGACAAUUUUAAAAAAAGCCAAUUUGGUACUCAUUUUUUUGUUCUCUCCUGUUUGCUUCAGUUAGAAGCUUGCUUAUGUUUGCUUAUGUUGGAAAUGACUCUGAGGUUUCAAGAGAGUAUUGAGGUGGAAUUCACACCCCUCUGGGUCACGGAUAGAGGGAGGAAAUGACUGGACUGUGAUUGACCCAUCCUGGUGGUGUCUCCUGAAUACUGAGGGCCAAGCAAGUAGAAUUUCUCCCACUUAUAUCCCAGCACUGCCCUUGCCUUUCUGUGAAGCUAAGACAUUCUGCUGGGCCUUGUGAAUGACUCACAUGGAGUCUGCCCAGAAGAAGGGUAUGGAAGGACAGGAUGCACAGUUGACCCCUUCAUCCAGAGGAGAGGCCACCACUGACUCGCCCUAAUCUAUGAACAUCAAAGACCUGAGCCUCUGGAGCCCCAAGCUACUCCCUCGUGAAUGCUUCUGAGGCUGCUGCCACUGGAGUUUGACAAAGAUGCAAAGAGAUUGUGGAAAAUCAUAGCUAUAAAAAUGGCUGUUGAUUGGGCACAGAGAGAGACACCUGGGAGGCUGAGGCAGGAGGAUCACAAGUUCAAGGACAACCUGGGCAACACCACAAGACCAUGAAUGAAUGAAUGAAUGAAUAUUUGUUUGCAGAUGGCAGAUAUGGGCUACUGUUUUGGUUCCAUGAGUAGUGCCCUGUUUCAAAUGUUGGACAUUCCCAGUUUCUGAUAGACCUGGAUACUCCUGGAGUAUUGCAGAGUCUUUAUAUUGAUAUAAAUGCUUUAUCAAAUACACCCGUUAAAGUGGAAAACUG